UACGUAGGGGGCUAGCGUUGUCCGGAUUUAUUGGGCGUAAAGAGCGUGUAGGCGGCCAUGUAGGUCCGUUGUGAAAACUCGAGGCUCAACCUCGAGACGCCGAUGGAAACCAUGUGGCUAGAGUCCGGAAGAGGAGAGUGGAAUUCCUGGUGUAGCGGUGAAAUGCGCAGAUAUCAGGAAGAACACCCGUGGCUAAGGCGGCUCUCUAGUACAGUACUGACGCUGAGACGCGAAAGCGUGGGGAGCGAACAGG
rnacentral:rRNA from 1 species